UUGUCCAGAUUAUCUUUUAUAAUUGUCUGCUGAUCAAGAGAUCUGUGAUAAUGGAACAAUUUGGACAGCGGUUAGUCGUAUUGAGCCUGUGCUUGCUGGCUGCUGUGAUCAUCUCUGAACAAAUCUCCCCUCAUCUGAGUCCCAGUCUUGUUCUUGCAAAACCUCUGCAACAAUGGCACACUUUGGCCAUCUGGUGGCAGUGUUGAGCCUUUGCCUGCUGGCUGCAGUGGUGAAUUCUCAACAGAACACCCCCGAACCUCCUCGUUUAGGACAGGAGAUCUGCACACACUACACUCAGGGUGGGACCCUCCUUCUGGAUGGGCCGAAGGUCUUUGAAAUGAUGCUGAUCGAGUUUGGAAGGGCAAUCCAGGUCUGGAUACAUGUACUUUUCUUAAAGGGGUAGUUCACCUAAAAAUGAAAAUUCUGUCAUCAUUAACUGACCCUCAAGUUGUUCAAAGCCUGCAUGAAUUUUUUUCUUUUGCUGAACACAAAAGAUUUUGAAGAAUGUGGGUAACUUAUACAGUUGCUGGUCCCCACUGAUACCAUGGAAGUCAAUGGGGACCAUCAACUAUUCGGUCAACCACAUUCUUCAAAAUAUCUUUUGUGUUCAGCAGGAGAAAUAACUUCUCAAAGGUUUGAAACCACUUCAGGGUGAGUAAAUAAUGACAGAAUUUUCAUCUUUGGGCGAACGAUCCAUUUAAAUCAAUGAACUCAAUUAGCAAAAGAAUAUAUAAAAUAUUUUUAUAAAAUAAAUAAGAAGUGCUAAGGGGUCCAUGAAAAAUUUGGGUAGUGGGUAGGGAAAAGAUACCAUGUCAACUGAACACAAAGUAAAUAUUUUCCAGAUAUCUUAAUUAUUUGCUUUAUCUUUAGUACAAUUAGUGUCAAAUCAAAUCGAUUAAUCGCAUCCAAAAUAAAACUUUGUUUACAUAUGUGUAAGUACUGUGUAUAUACACUCUCAGAAAAAAGGUACAAAAGCUGUCACUGGGGCAGUAACUUUUCAAAAGGAACACUUUGUACCUUCUUAUUUAUGUUAAUAUUAUAAGUACACUUUGUACUUUUAGGUGCUAAUAUUCACACUUUAGGUACUACUAUAUUCCUUUAAGGUACCAGUAUGGACUGUUUAGGUACAAAGGUGUGACUUUUGAAAAGGUACUGCCCCAGUGACAGCUUUUGUACCUUUUUUUUCUGAGAGUGUAGCAAAGCAAUGUAUGAAGCACAGCUCACACAGAGGUCAUUUUCAAACCAAGCCGCUUUCUCUUGGUCAAACUGACGAAUCUGCAAUUCCUAUUGAA
rnacentral:lncRNA from 1 species